rnacentral:rRNA from 1 species
AGUAAAUUGGUUAAGUUAGAAAGGGCGCACGGUGGAUGCCUUGGCACUAGGAGCCGAAGAAGGACGGGACUAACACCGAUAUGCUUUGGGGAGCUGUACGUAAGCGUUGAUCCAGAGAUUUCCGAAUGGGGGAACCCACUAUCUUUAGUCGGAUAGUAUCCUUACGUGAAUACAUAGCGUGAGGAAGGCAGACCCAGGGAACUGAAACAUCUAAGUACCUGGAGGAAGAGAAAGAAAAAUCGAUUUCCUGAGUAGCGGCGAGCGAAACGGAAAGAGCCCAAACCAAGAAGCUUGCUUCUUGGGGUUGUAGGACACUCUAUACGGAGUUACAAAAGAAAGUUAUAAAUGAAGCGGUCUGGAAAGGCCCGCCAAAGACGGUAACAGCCCGGUAGUUGAAAUAGCUUUCCCUCCAGAGUGGAUCCUGAGUACGGCGGAACACGUGAAAUUCCGUCGGAAUCCGGGAGGACCAUCUCCCAAGGCUAAAUACUCCCUAGUGACCGAUAGUGAACCAGUACCGUGAGGGAAAGGUGAAAAGC